UUUGCAAUGUAAAUAAAAAAUCCAAUAAAAAAAUAACAACUUGAACAGAUUUGGGAUGGAUUUAAAAGAAUGGGAAUUAAUUGGAAUUGAGGAAGUUUUUAAAAUAUAUUUUUUAAGCUUUUAAGAUUUUUAUAUGAGUGCUGUAUCUGUACUCACACCUGCAUGCCAGAGAAGGGCAUCAGAUCACAUCACAGAUGGUUAUGAGCCACCACGUGGUUGCUGGGAAUUGAACUCAGGACCUCUGGAAGAGCAGUUAGUGCUCUUAACCACUGAGCCAUCUUCUGCCCCCUUAAAAAACGUAUUUCUUUUGGAUAUGAUGAUGGCAAAACAAUGCAAAAAUAAUUUUAUGUUUCUUUUUUUUGUUUUUUUUUAAGAUUUAUUUAUUUAUUUUAUGUAUGUGAGUACACUGUAGCUGUCUUCAGACACACCAGAAGAAGGCAUCAGAUCCCAUUACAGAUGGUUGUGAGCCACUAUGUGGUUGCUGGGAUUUGAACUCAGGACCUCUGGAAGAGCAGUCAGAGCUCUUAACCACUGAGCCAUCUCUCCAGCCCCUAAUUCUAUGUUUCUUAAAUUUCCUCAGCAGCCAAAAAGAAUUAAACCAAAAAGACAAUCAAUAUGCAUUAGAUUUAUUUUAAAGUCUGAGCUAAAAUUAUUUUUGGGACAACUUGAGAAUCUGUUACAUCAAACUGCCUACAAAAUAUACUAAAAUCCAAAGCCUUCUAAGAAGUUCUUCCUCCAGGACGGUCAUGCUUUGGCAUGGUUUGCAAUUGUUUCCUUUACAGUAUCAGCUGAAUUGAUACAUUCGUACUUGCAUGAAACAAUCCAAUUCUUUUGUACUUCAGAAUUUUCUGUGAUUAUUUCUUAGAUACCUCUAAAUAGUCUAUUAACUAGGUGUUUUGUUUUUUAAAUCUUCUUAUCUUAGUUAGGGUUUUACUGCUGUGAACAGACACCAACACCAAGGCAACUCUUUUUUUUUUUUUUUUAAGAUUUAUUCAUUUAUUAUAUAUAAGUACACUGUAGCUGUCUUCAGAUACACCAGAAGAGGGCAUCGGAUCUCUUUACAGAUGGUUGUGAACCACCAUGUGGUUGCUGGGAAUUGAACUCAUGACCUCCGGAAGAGCAGUCGGGUGCUCUUAACCACUGAGCCAUCUCUCCAGCCCCCCAAGGCAACUCUUAUAAGUACAGCAUUUAAUUAGGGCUGGCUUACAGGUUUAGAUGUUCAAUCCAUUGUCAUCAAGGCAGGAUGUGGCAUUGUCCAGGCUGAUGUGGAGCUGGAGGAAGUAAGAGUUCCACCUUUUAUACUGAAGGUUUCUAGAAGACGACCGACUUUCAGGCAGCCAGGAUGAGGUUCUUAACCCCACAGCCCCAGUGACACACUUCCUCCAGCCAGGCCACAUCUAUUCCAAUGAGGCCACACCUCCUACUAGUACCAUUCCCUGGGCCAAGCAUAUUCAUUCAAACCACCACAUGUCUUAAACUCAUAAUUAAAAUUGGUCUAAAUUUUAUAGAUACCAAAUCUGAAAAGCCUUACGUUUAAAUCAUUAAGAGUUAAUGACCAUUGUUAGUUAAAGCGAUGUUAUCUGUUUUUCAUUUUAUGCUCUGCCUUGGUCUGAUAAAAGGUCAGACUCUGGCAAGGGAGAAAGUUAAAGGUUGCUCCGGAGAGCUUGUCCUUUAUUAAAGGCACUGCUUUAUACAGCUUAGAGACAAGUCUUAUACAGCAUUCAAAGCUUCUAGUGCAUAACUAGUAGUGAAUGGACAUUGGUGUGACAUUGGGGUCUCAGACACUCUGUUAUUAGGAACAUAGAGAUCUAAGCUGAAAGUGCAUUACAGGCACACACAAUACCUCCCUAACUAGUCAGACACACAAAGUAACCAGGCAUAGCAUGGGGCCCGGGAGACUCCAGUGUAACACCAUUGUAUCAUAACUGAAACUUAAGUUUGUCACAUAGUUCUUUAUAUAUUUCCUUUCUAGGACCCAUGACAACUAAAAUACGAUAAUAGUCCAUCCUCCUUAUGCAUGCAAAUAAAUGAUUUGAGAAAUUUUAGUAUUAAUCAAGUUACUAAAAUCUGUUACUACACACAGGAUUAAGUUACUGUGGAAUGACACAACCACAUACUUAAUUGGCAAAUUAAAAAAAAUAAAUGAAAGAAUGAAUGACUAAAUAAAUGGGGAUAUUUACGUUACCUAUAUCCUCACAUUCUAUUUAGCUAUGCUAACUUCAAUUUUUUUUUCAUUUUAAAGGAUAAUGCUUUUUCUGCUGCCCACAAACAUUUGCCCUAAGAGAGACACAUUUUAAAGUAAACGCUAAGUGAAAAGAAAGAGCCCAAGGGCUGUUCUAACAUCUGGGUGAGUUUACCUGUGGGAGUUUAGUCUUGCUGUCUGUCUAUUGUAGUGCUAAGUGUAGGCACCACACCGGAGUCUGCACACAAACUCAAUUAAUCCUGCCCCUAAGUUAUUUUUGAUUGGUAAAGAAAGAUCCCAACAGCUAACAGCUGGGCAGAGGAGGCCUAGGUGGGUGUUGAGAGCUUUGGGUGCUGCUUCUAGGAAUUUGACAUUUGUCACUGGUCUUGGACAAGGAAGUAGGGUCAGAUAAGAAUAUUAGAAACAGUGACCAGGGGGCUUUGUUUACUGCUGUGCUGAACGCCUACCUUGUGUGAUUGCUUUGUUUCCGACUUUACUUAAUUACUAUCUUGUGCGAUCUUGUUUACCACUUCGCUCGAUUACUUUGUUUUCAAUCUAAGAACUGACCAUGGUUUUUUGUUUGUUUGUUUUUUGUUUUUGUUUUUUUUUGGAUAUAUUUAGAAUGAUAUAAAAGCAGACUGGGAAAGAAUAAAGACUUCAUUCAGCCUCAGCACAGGCUGUAGUCCUGUCAUAAUUCUGUCUAAUUGGUUUUCUUCCUUUUUAAUCCUUACUUCCUCCCUUGAGACCCAGGUGACUGACUCAGCUGGCUUGGUCAGGUGGGGGUUUAGGGUUCCCGAGCUUGCGGCUGGAGGAGAACUAUGAGGAAGAAUGUAGAGGAAGAAGGAGAAACUGCCAUGGGUUAGAAAAUUAAGUGCCAGAUGGCUCCUGGUCUGAUGCAUUCUACCAGGACAUCCAGAGACCAUUGGACAAAUGAAAGAAGCUGAAGUUAUCACAGAGAAAAGAGCCUCAGUUGAGGAAAUGCCUUCAUGAGACCCAGCUGUAAGUCAUUUUCUCAAAUAGUGAUCAAGGCGGGAGGACACAGCCCAUUGUGGGUGGUACCGUCCCUGGGUUGGUGGUCCUGCGUUCUAUAAGAGAGCAAGCUGAGCAAGCCAGGGGAAGCAAGCCAGUAAGAAACAUCCCUCCGUGGCCUCUGCAUCAGUUCCUGCUUCCUGCCCUGCGUGAGUUCCAGUCCUGACUUCCUUUGGUGAUGAACAGAAAUGUGAAAGUGUAAGCUGAAUAAACCCUUUCCUCCCCAACCUGCUUCUUGGUCCUGAUGUUUGUGCAGGAAUAGAAACCCUGACUAAGACACCCACCCUUAGGGUGGAUGUCACAAGUACAUUACAGCCUGCUGACUUCUAUGCUAUCAGUCAGAGAACACAGACAUGUACUCCCUUCUAGGCCUUUUAGCUAUAGAACCCACCCUGACGGUCACAUGUACUUCAUAAAGGCGUUUCUAUGUAGUCACAUCUUAAGCUUUACUGUGCACCUGUGAUUGGACUGACUGUCUCCUGGAAACCUUUCCCCAAAUUGUACUGUGUUUUGAAUAUGCUGACAAUGAACUCCCUAGCGUUAGACUUCCUAAAGUCUGACCCAGCUUGACAAAGUCGAUCUGCCCUGGGUUUCCAUUCUUACCUUUUUGUCAAGUUUGCUUCCCUGUCUGGUGCCUGUAGGAACCCCUUAGGUUUUUUGAUAAAUGUAGAAAAUGGUUAUAUCUAAGUCAUUUGUAGAGUGUCUUUUUUUUUUUUUUGGUUCACCUUUAAAAAGUUUUUUAUUACUGUAUAUUAAUCAUUCAUGAUGAGGGCCUCCACUUCCCGUCCCUUGCCCAUAAGCUUUUUCGCAUGUUUGUGCCGCGUUUGCUUAUGUGUUUACAGAAGGGCACUCCCCAUCCUUCAUGAGGAUUGCAUUAAGAACAAACAGUACGGUUUUCUACAGCGUCUUAUGAGAGUAGCAUGCUGCACAGUAACCUACAUAACAAGGAUCAGCCAUUCCCUGCCUAGCAUCUGUCUAAACAGUGAGGUCCCCAGAGGGGCUUCAUGAAUUGAGGUAGUUCACAUACAAAGAGAAUAAAGUGUGAGGUCAGAUUAGAGGGACAGUAAGAGUGUUUGCUUGGGUGGCACUGAAGUGAUCAGGGUAGGACACACCCCAUCCAAGGACGACUUGCAAACUUGCAAGGUGCUCACACUUUGGAAAACAAGACAAGCAAGAAUCCAAGAGUCAACAACGGGAGGAAGGAGAGCACAAGAAAGAAGGGCCAGCUGGGGCUGGAGAGAUGGCUCAGAGCAUAAGAGCACUGGCUGCUCUUCCCAGUCCUGCUUUCCAUUCCCAGUGCGUGCGUGAAGACUUGCAACCAUUUGUAACUUCCAAAGGCUCUGACUCCCUGGCCCCCAUGGGGCGCUGCACAUACAUGGCACACAAAGCACUCUCUCUAUAAAAUCUAAAAAAUUAAGUGGUUACUAUUUUCACUUAGUAAGGUUAACCUAUUUCAGAAGCAGGGUGACUUAUGAUAAUAUUAUUGGUAAAGUAUUGUCUGACAGGAAGCGUAGAGCCACAGACAUGGUAGGUUCUGAAUCCUCCAUUUUAGUUGAUAGAGAUAAAGAGCAGGGACAGAGAGAUGAGAAUAAAGGAAGUCCUUGUCUCUGCCCAGGGCCAGAGGCGACAUUAAGUGUCUUGAGUUGCCAAGGGCUCCUGAGGGAAUUGGGUCUGUGAUGGUGCUGCAGGUGGAGUGUCUAUUUCAGAGCAAAAUGACCGAAGGGUUUGUAACCGACUCAGAGACCUUGGCACACCUAACUGCAUGUGGAAGCACCAUUCAGGCCAUAUAAUGUAGCACAUAGGCAGCGCCACCUGCCAAAAUAAAGACUAAGACCUACUCCAUCAAAGUCCACAGUUCUGGGAAGACUCUAAAUAUACUAACCUGGUUUUUUGGGGGUUUUGUUUUUUGUUUUGUUUUUUUUUUUCUUUAUGCUUCUGUAGUUCCGCUUCUGACUAUCUGGCUAACUGUGCUUGUUAACUGAAGCAUGUCAACCCAGACUGUGUUUUUGUGCUUAAAAGCUCACCCUGAGAAAGUCUUGGGACUGCACUAAGAUCCUGAAUACCCAAUAUAGUUACCACUGGCCAAUAAAGACCUACUGUUUGCUUAAACCUAUGUCUGAGCAGUUUUCUCUGGUGGAUACCUCACAACAGGAUUUAAAAGAGACUAAUGGGUUGACUCACAGUCUACAAGUGACUGACCACAGCCAAGGUCUACUCUAGCAAGGAAUAACCCAGAUAAGACCUGAGAUACGACUCUAACAGGUCAACCAUGGGUCUGACAUCAUUGAAGAAUGGUAGCCCAGGGGCUAGAGAGAUGACUCAGCAGGUCAAAGCACCUGCUGUAAAGAUUUGGUGACUUGAACAGGACCUUAAAGACUAUUUUGGGUACUUUUGGAGAAGUUCUUAUGGUAUAGGUCAAGAAAGAUCUUCAAACCAAUCCAUCAAAGGGCUUUGACAUUGUUCCUCUUAUGGGCCGUGAAUCACGGUAGAAGUCAUGUUACAGUGAUGUGUGACUGCUGCACAUGGUAUGAUUUUAAACUUCUGAAUUCUAAGCCCACGUGAACCUUUGUGAGGUGCACAUGUAUUUGUUGGGUGUUGUACAGGAGACCACUGCACAGAGAAGCAGUGGGUGUCUUCCUUCCUCUCCAGCCCAGGGCUUUUGUUACCCUUGCAGGUGAUAAGGCCAUGCAGAUAAUCAGUGAGCAUAUAUGCCCCUGAGCUGAAACACAGCAACAAUCAGAAGAAAGGAGGUCUGAUGGUAACCCAGGCGGCUUUGGGAAUCAAGGUGGCUUUGGUAGACGUAGACAGGGGUGGGGUGGGAAGGUUGGAGUUGGUUUGGGAAAUAACAGGGGUAGUGAUAUGGGUGGGGAGAUGAAGUUUGGCCUCAUCGUGAAUACAGCAGUGAUGCGUGAUGUUGGGGGUGUGUGAUGGGCACGUUGGACAGACAGGAAGCAGUCAGGCCCAUCCGGUAAUAACCAUAGUCAGGGCAGCAUGCAGAGGGAGUCAAAUCAGCCUGUGGUUCUGGAACUCGCUCCUAUUGUGGUUCUAGUGCUUGUCUUGGCUGGGGGCUGGUGUCAAAUGCAGUGUCAGGCGGUGCCUUUGACUCUGAGGAGGGUUUGGUUCAAGUGUAGACUCUAAAUCCUCUGGCUGGGGAAUGGAGACAGUGGGUUAUGGUUGGUUGAUAUGAAUGGUGGGAAUUCAAAAUUUUCUAAAUUCACAGAAAGUUCCUUGUAAAUACAUACGUAGUAAUUUUUUUUAUUGGUUUGCUUAGUGUGGAGUAUAUGUAGCAGGUUUGUGACAUUUUCUUUGGAAAGAAGAAGAGAUGGAAAAUCUUGCAUUGUGACAUAGGGGUUAACACACAGAGUGGCUGAAAGUGAGCUGCUGGUGUGUGCUAGACGUAAACUAACACUUCAGCCCAUCUUGGGGUUUGUAGAAAUGUUUUGCCCUUGUAUUUAAGGGAUUCCUUAGUAUGUCCAACGUAGAAACUAUUGGUUAGAACUGUACUGUUUUCUUAUUUAAUUUGAAUCCCAGGAGAUCAUGGGGCCUUUGUGUUUUGUUCCUGUGGUUUUGUUUUUAACACUGGUCUUCCCUCAUGCAUAAAGUACUAUCUGAAGCCGUCCUCCAGUCUCUGCAGCUCAUCUUGUUUCAAAUGUCAACUUUGCCGACAGCAGGCUGUAGAUAUUCUUCCCUUGGACCAUGCUCCUGUAUCUGUGUUUUAUCAUCCAACGAUGCAUCACCCUGGCUGCUCCACUGUCACCCGCUACUCUGUAGUUCACAGAGUCUUAUCAACACUGGGACUGCAAGGCUGUGACACAGAACCUGAAUCACUUAACUGAAACCCUGUUGGAUUGAUGGUGGUGUAGAGGCACGCAAGGCUUGUAGGGUGAGAAAAGGAGAGAGUGUGGCUGCAACUUGGUGUCACUGGAUCCUAUAGCUUUGGUGAGACUGUCCGCAGAGAGCAAUGGUGGGAAAUGACUUGAAGUCAAAGGUCAGAUCACAUAUGUGGGGACUUGGAAUUCUGUUCUUGGAAAACCUACCUCACUUGAAUGUGUUAAGUGAAAAGACACAUGUGCUGCUGCAGGCUGUGCCCUGUGCUUGAGUGCCUUGUGUGAGUUGUCAUUGUUGGAAAUUCUUGGUUCUUUUUGAACACUCAGAGAACUCAUCCCACAGAUGUAGGUGAUGGGGGUUAAUAGUGACAUUUAUGUAAAUACAUGGCCUUAUAAAUCCAGAAGCAUUCAGUACUUUAAUCAACUCUUUUGGCUCUUGGACAAGUUGGACCUUUCAGUGGUGAAGAUGUGGUUAUUCCUGUGUGGCAUUUCAGCCUGGCUGUACAGUACCAGGCUCGCAGCCACCAACCUGACUGUUCAGUCACUUUCCAUAUCCCACUAUAGGACUGGUGCAAGCAAUAGGUGCUUUUCAGUAGCUCCGUCCAGCAAAACCCUCACCCAGACAUAGAGCACAGGCCAUGGAGCAUCAUAGUGCUUGACCCUGGUACUUACCCAACCUUCUCCUCUCCUCUCUUCCCCGCCAUGACUUAUUUUUCCAAAUUUUUGUCCACAUUCCAGAUAAAGUUUCCAUACUGCGGAGUGACGGCAUGUGGUAGGAUUGUCCUUUUUUGUCUGGAUAACCUCUGAUUCAGGUCUCCGUUUCAACAUACCCUUCACAUUGUAACACUGUGUCCAGGUCUCAGUUUCAACAUACCCUUCACAUUGUAACACUGUGUUCAGGUCUCCCUUUCAACAUACCCUUCACAUUCUAACACUGUGUCCAGGUCUCAGUUUCACCAUACCCUUCACAUUGUAACACUGUGUUCAGGUCUCCCUUUCAACAUACCCUUCACAUUGUAACACUGUGUCCAGGUCUCAGUUUCAACAUACCCUUCACAUUGUAACACUGUGUUCAGGUCUCCCUUUCAACAUACCCUUCACAUUGUAACACUGUGUUCAGGUCUCAGUUUCAACAUACCCUUCACAUUGUAACACUGUGUUCAGGUCUCAGUUUCAACAUACCCUUCACAUUGUAACACUGUGUCCAGGUCUCCCUUUCAACAUACCCUUCACAUUGUAACACUGUGUCCAGGUCUCCCUUUCAACAUACCCUUCACAUUGUAACACUGUGUCCAGGUCUCCGUUUCAACAUACCCUUCACAUUGUAACACUGUGUUCAGGUCUCAGUUUCAACAUACCCGUCACAUUGUAACACUGUGUUCAGGUCUCCGUUUCAACAUACCCUUCACAUUGUAACACUCUGAUUUCCAUCUGUGCUGUUCUGUCUCACAGCAGUCGCCCUACCAGGCUCCAUUAGCAGGAUGUCAGAAAGUAACGCCAUUUCAUUUAACACAUCCCACCCAGAGGCUGACAGAUCGCAUAUGCAUAGUAAACAUAUGGCAUCUUAUUUUUUUUAAUUUUUUACAUUUAUUUUCUUUUUCGAGACAAAUUUUUCUGAGAAGCCCUGGCUGACUGUAGACAAGGCUGGUCUCAAACUUUGAGCCCUGUCUUCCUCUGCCUCCUGAGUUCUGGGAUUAAAGGCAUGGCUGACACCACCACCUGGCAUGGAGGAAAUGGCUCAGUCUUUAAAAGUUAGGCUCACAAUCCCAAAUACUGGAUAACUUUCUCAGAGCUUUGUUUCUUUUUUCUAGGUUAAAUUUGGUUUUGGUUUGUUGGAAAUAAGGUCAUUGUAUAUCCUGGGCCUGCCCUGAAAAUUGCUAUGCAGACUAGGCUAGCUGUAAACAUACAGAGACAUGCUUGCUUCUGCUCCCAAGUGUGGAGAUUGAUGGACACUGCCACCAUGACUGGCUCAGACUAAAUCACUCACACACACACACACACACACACACACACACACACACACACACACACACACACACACUAUUCUUUUCCGUGCUAAGGACUGAACCCAACAUCUUGAACUUGCUUAGCAAGAGCUCUAUCACUGAGCUAUACCCUUAGCCCCAUUUAUAGAUUUUAACCUCUUCUACUCAUCCUGCUUAGCUAAUAGGAAGGGGCUCAGACCUCCAAGUACAGUCUAUCACACCUGGGGUUCAGACCAGGCAGGCUGAGUAGAGUAGGCUAUACUUUCUACAACAGUUAUACAUAGAAGGUACAGAACAGUUGUAUGCCAAGAAGCACCGUAGGCCACUUAGAGGUGUGAAACUGGAGAGAAGCAACUUUUCUGACUUUAGUGUGCAAGCAAGUCUGACUUUUUCAUAUGUUAUGUUACUCACAGAAACAACAAACAACACUUCCCAGUCUCUACUAUCAUCAGCAGUGGAUUGACAGCUGGAGUUGGAGUUGCAGGACUUACUGACCAUUCCCACACCCUCAGCUUUUUUUCUGCUAUUCACUUUCACAGCACGACUCUCGGAUAACUGGUAGAGAAGCAGUAUCUCGCACCCUUCAUAUGCCACCUACCAUCUCCCAUGUGCCAGUCCUCCUGUUCAAUGUACUCUGUUGGCUCUCUAGUGAGAUCAGAAACUGAGCUCACUCUUGUCAGGUAACACAUUUUAUCUUUUAAAUAAUAUUUAUGUGUAUGUUAGUCUGCAUGAGUUAUGUGCACCAUGUGCAUGCAGGAGCCCACAGAGGCCAAAAGAGGGCAUAAGAUCCCCUGGAACUGGAGUUACAGGCAACUGCAAGCCACCAUGUGGGUCCUGGGAACAGAGCUCUGGUCCUUUGCAAGAUUAUUCAGGAUUCUUAAUUGUUGAGCCAUCUCUUCCUAUCUCGGGUUCUCUGUCAAAUAAGGGUGAUAAUAGGAGAACUGGAGGUCAGUUCUGUUUUCGUAUGUAAAAUAAGUCCCGGUCUGAAACCCAACAAAUAACACUUCAUGGGGCUGUGAACAUUCAAUAGUAUAGUUUUAUAAGUGCUAUAACUUCUCACAGCACUUUUCACUGUGUAUUCCUGGUGAUUCUAGAACCUAUCUUGCCUACAAAUCAUCUGACCUCACUAAAUGCUGAUUUUGGUCUAGCCAGUUGACAGCUAUGUCUGAAAUUCUGCAUUUUUAUCAAGUUCAUUUCUGACACUCUAGCCUACUGCCUGAGUAAGGACAUUCCAAGAUAUAGUGGCUUUCACCAUUCUUAGGUAAAGCUCCACGGUGGCCCUGACAGAUUUACUUUGGCAUUUUAUUUUUUUGUCUCCCAAAGCAUUUUAAAAUCUGUUUAGUUUCUGAGACAGGGUGUCAUAGCCUAGACUGGUCUUGAACUUACUAUAUAGCUGAAGAUGACUGUGAACUUCUAAUCCCCUCUCCACCUCCCACAGUGCUGAAAUACAGAUAUAUGCCACCAUGUUUAUUGCAUAUAUCUUUAAAAAUUUGCCGAGUGUAUUGGUCAUGCUUGUAAUUCUAGUCCUUGGCAGGUUAUGUAGGAUUGUGAGCUCCAGGCCAGCCUAGGCUACAUGGUUAGACCAUGUCUAAGGAAAAAAGGGAGGAGGAUAUAGCUCAAUGGUAGAGUGUUCUUAACAUGAACAAAGUCCUGGGAACAACUUCCAGCCCUCAUCAACAUACAUACAAAGCUUACAUUUAUUACUUGGUGAGUGAUUAUGUCACUCAGUGACUGUCUUUGAGGCAUAGUUAAGGAGUAGACAAUCCAGGACCUGAGGGAAGGUAGGUUGGGGAUGAAUCACUUCUAGGAAACUAAUAAAAAUCUUUUCCUCCUCAUAGCUCUCCACCUUUCCCUACAUGUUCUAGUGAGAAUUGGGGAAACACUGAAGAAAGCCCUAGGUAAGAAGACAAGCAUAGAUGUAUCAGGUCGUUAUUGGUCUUAGUUGAAAAUAAGUUCUGAAAUAGUCAAUAUUUUCAUCUCUGGGUAAAGGCUGGGACAAAUUUCAAAUAAGAUAUUAAGUUGGAAUUACAAAAAGCUUCAAAACAACUCAGUGUUCUGAGUUAUUAUGUAAUCACUCAUUUUGGCUUACAAAGAAAAUACUCUUUAUCUUUCAAGAUUCCAAUGAUAUCAUUCAUAGAUCUAGGGAAAAAUCCUACUAGGAGACAUAUGCUCAUGUUUUUUCUAUAUAAUGUUCUAAAUAAAGAUCCCAAUAUUGUCACAGCAAUCCUGAGCAGGAGCCAUGUUGAGAUGUCACAAAUCCUUGUUUCAAACAACACUACAGUUGUGGUAACUAACGGUGUGGCACUGGAAUGAAGACUAUAAAGACCAACAGAAUGGUGUUGUGGUAAUUUCUUACCACAAUAGGUCAGUAUAAAAAACAUACAACCCGGGUUGGGGAUUUAGCUCAGUGGUAGAGCGCUUGCCUAGCAAGCGCAAGGCCCUGGGUUUGGUCCCCAGCUCUGAAAAAAAGAAAAAAGAAAAAGAAAAAAAAACCACACACACACAACCCAGUUAUUAUAUUUGUAAGAUAUAUGUCUAUAUUGGGCAGAUCUAUGGCUGUCCUAAUCUAUCCCCAGCUAUGAGACCCCAUUUCACUUGCGGCUCCUCCAGGCUAUAUGGUUCUGUUCCACCUUCCAUCUCUUCUAUCUCUAUCCUUCUUCCUCCCCCUUUCCCUAUUCUUCCUCCACUCUCUAAAACUUCUAGCCCCACCUUUCCCUUCCACUGCUCAUUCACAGGCUCCAGUCAUUAUUUGACCAGUUAGAAUGGGGAGAAGGUUCACAUGAAAUCACCUGAGUAUGUGAUCCACUCCUCAUCCAGGCAGCCCCUCUUGAGGAAGCAGAAUUAACAUCAGAAUACAAACAGCACCAUGGCAACCCACAUUUCCCCCCUUUUGCACAAUUACAAGGCUCUCUUCUUUCAGAUAUAAAUUGAGCACAACCACUACAGUUAUGUAAAUUAUAAAGUAUAAGAUACAUUUAACACCCAGUCCAUCAUAGUUGUCAAUUUAGAUAAAGCACUCUACCAUCUAUCCUAACUUAAAACACUUACAAUUCUAUACCUGAGUUAUGUUCUGGUUUUAGCUUGUAUUAUCAUCUGAAAACCAUCCUCUCAAAUGUAUAUCAUCUCCCUCAAUGUUAACUUGAGUUGACUAUGAGACUAUAACUAGUCUUUAACCCCAUCAGAAAUCUGAGAAUGACUUAACUAUUACCUGAAAAUAUAGGAAGCACAAAACAUAGCUUCUAAAAUUUAACCAAUUUGUAGAGAUGGCUGACAACCUGGACACUUCCUCAAAAUGUUGGGAGUAUUAGUCUUUAGCCUACUGGCCUGGGAUCAUCUGGUAGACCUCUGUAAAGCAGAAUCUUGAAGGACUGCUUCCCUGUCUUGGUAGAGUUAUCAGUUGACUGUUCCACAUAGUGUAUCCUUUUCCUGGACAGUGUUUCGUCGGUAGAUGAACUGAGGCAAUUCUUGACUAGUGGCUGUCUUGCCACAUCUGGAGUAACUCCACUGAUCCUCAAUUUCUACUUUGAACC